CUCACCCAGUUCCAAGCCCCUGCCACAGGCAGGGACACCUUCCACUACAGCAGGUUGCUUCAAGCCCCGUCCAACCUGGCCUUGAACACUGCCGGGGAUGGGGCAGCCACAGCUUCUCUGGGCAACCUGUGCCAGGGCCUCACUACCUUCACAGGGAAGAAUUUCUGCGUAAUGUCUGAUCCGGGAUCAAGCCUUCCACCCUUGGCUUCCCGAUUUAAAUUCAGGUUUUUACCUCCGGGCUUGCAGCCGGCCCUAAUGAUUGCCACAGCAUGGCUGGGCUAAGGGAGAGCUUGUUGCAAGUCUGGUGCUCGAUGCACCUUACGGUGAGCCCAAAAGCGUGACUGAUCUGCGAGCGUGUCGUACCUGCUGCAGGAUACACAGCUCUUGGUUUGAUCUUCCGUACGUUUUGACUUGCUUUGCUGUCUCCUCAGUAGCAGCAUGUAACAGCAUUCUAUAGUGUCAAUGAUAUAAUAACCAAUUAUUAGAACUAUGAGGUUUGGAGCGGUGGGUAUGCUUGAGUUAGGGGUGCCUGGCCCAGGCAGCAAGGACUGGGAUUUUAGGAGAUCACCGGUGGUUAACAUUCCUGGGAUUUUUAGCAGAGCAAGAUAAGUGAAGCCACUGCAGUAGGGUUUUUUUUCAUGCCGGAUGGAAAACCUGAGAAUGGCUGAGGAACUACUCAGGUGGGGGGGAUAUUCUACUAUCAGGAACACUAAAGCUAGACUUGUGGACUUUACCCUGAGGUGAAGGAAAAAAUGAAAGGGUUCAAAACGUAACAGAUCUGAAACAAACUUUCCAACUAAAAUACAUCCAGCAAAUAAAAAGAAAGCAAUAUAUAUAUAAAAAAAAAUUGUGGCUACUCUUUAAAGAUUCCCCAUCAUUUCCUGUUUCUUUACCUAGACAAGACACUAGCCAGGAACCGUUCACAUAAGCCUGGAAGUUUUAUUUGCUCAUUUGUUUCCAGCAGAUUAUUUUUAACUGAAUUGCCCGUGCUUGUGGUACUGCAGCAGAGAACGUAACAGCCCUGGGAUGAGGCAAAACCUCCAGCAUGGCAGCAGACAAUAAAUCUUUCCAGCUGAGAGCUUCCCCAGGACAGCACAUGCUGUGUGCUGAGCAUAAGGGAAGUGGACACCCACUGUAAAAAUAAUCCCCCUGGCUUGCCCAAAAUGACCCCAGAAAGUGCAUCCUGGGUCUCAGGAGGUUAUGAUGCAGCAUUAAAAUAAAUGCUGAGAGGCUUUGAUUUAUGUCUUUCAGAAUUGUAAGGUUUCUUCAUUAUUUAAUAAGAGGAAACAAAAUCAGAAGGGGAGCUGUAUGUUAAGAUGGAAACCUCACAUUACUCCUGCUGGAAGAAAUACCCUGUAACUUGAGGCUUGCAGCAAAAUCCAGUAACAGCAUUAACUAGCUGUUAGCAAGAUAGUUAAGCAAAUUAGUUAUGUACUUGCUAACUAGUACAUAAGUAGCAAUGGGGGAUUUUUCUUCCAGCUCCUCAGCAUUUGGUGAACGGGGAGUGAGAAGACCAAGUGCCCUUCCCUGGCAAAGACAAACUCCAUGUGCUCAAUGGUCUUCGUUGUUCAUUAUAUGAGCCAUUUUCCCCAAAUCUUUCUGGGUGGAUGACUUCAAAUAUCCAAGCAAUCCCACAAAUUGGUUGUGGCCUAGCUGGCUACUGGAGAUAACAAACGCAACUGUUCUUCCCAAGGUCUUGAAUGAUCUUUCAGUAAUGAGAAAAAGAAUUUCCUUUUGGCAGUGAAGUAACGCAUGGUGAAGUGAUAAAUCAAACCACAAUAAGCUCUUAAAUCUUU